CUAUACAGACGACCUGUAAAUGUUUUUCGAGUAUCUUCAUUCUUCCCUCAUCCUACUGAUGUUUUAGAGAGGAAGAUACUCAGCAAAACAUUUACUGGUUACUUGUAUAG
rnacentral:pre_miRNA from 1 species